rnacentral:lncRNA from 1 species
GGAUCUGUACUUCUUACAACUGAGCUUUGUUAUCUCCUUGGCGGGUUUUAGGUAAACCUGACAGAACUGUUAUAGCUCAAGCUAUAACAAAUGGAACAUAGCACCACAAGGCCUCAUGUCUCCCAGGGGGAAUAGCCCAGAGGACCGAGGCUGGAAAGCUACAAAGAUGUACCUAAAAAAAGGUAUCCAGAUUUCCCCAAAUCCUACUAAUUUGGAUAAGGAACAUAUUUCUGCAGCUAUUAUUAGAACCGUAAAAGUGACCCAGAGUUCAGCUUUUUUCAGUUUGUGCAAUCAAGAUUUCAGCUAUUGCUGGACACAGUGCUUGGGUUAUUAACAUCACUAGAGUUCAGCAGGUAAGAGUUAAAGUUGUAUAAAUUUCUUUAACUUGAAAUUUUAAAUUUCUGCUUCUUUCAGCUCUCCUUUUGUUAAUGCGUAGAACACACUUUUUGCUUGUAACCAGAAAAAGUUACUAGAGAAAAAUGUUAUAAAUGACAUAACUUAUGCUGUGAGAAUGAGUUGUGUAUCAUGUCUAUGCUCCAUUUGAAGUGUACUCACCUUCCAGAAAUAGCUCAGCAGAAUGGUCUCAGUGCAGGGAUCCAGAAGGACUGAAUUUAAUCCUGGUUCUUUCACUGGUCUGCAGCAUGACCUUCAGCAAUCUUUGUGCCAUUUUCCUGCUUGCUAAAAUGAAAAAAAUAAUACUUACGGCCUUUGCAAAGCACUUUCAGAGUAGAGCAUAUGAAUCGAUAACAUCUUCUUAAGCAUGUGAAAUAGCAGAGGAAACUCUUCCCACUUGCAUUAGUGCACUUUCAGCAUUCAGAAAUGUGAAAUUAUAAAGAUUACUAUGUGAAAGAAAGAUUAUGAGAAGUGUUACCAGUUGGAAUGUGAAGGAAAACAGUACUAAGUUGAUGUACCACAAUAAAGAAUAAAAUACGCAUUUUCA